rnacentral:misc_RNA from 1 species
GAUGAAGAACGCAGCGAAAUGCGAUAAGUAAUGUGAAUUGCAGAAUUCAGUGAAUCAUCGAAUCUUUGAACGCACAUUGCGCCCCCUGGUAUUCCGGGGGGCAUGCCUGUCCGAGCGUCAUUACAACCCUCAAGCUCAGCUUGGUGUUGGGCCCCGCCGCCCCGGCGGGCCCUAAAGUCAGUGGCGGUGCCGUCCGGCUCCGAGCGUAGUAAUUCUUCUCGCUCUGGAGGUCCGGUCGUGUGCUCGCCAGCAACCCCCAAUUUUUUUCAGGUUGACCUCGGAUCAGGUAGGAAUACCCGCUGAACUUAAGCAUAUCAAUAAGCGGAGGA